rnacentral:tRNA from 1 species
GGGCGAUUAGCUCAGUGGGAGAGCACUGCCUUCACACGGCAGGGGUCGCUGGUUCAAGUCCAGCAUCGCCCACCA